rnacentral:rRNA from 2 species
AACUUUUAACAAUGGAUCUCUAGGCUCUCAUAUCGAUGAAGAACACAGUGAAAUGUGAUAAGUAAUGUGAAUUGCAGAAUUCAGUGAAUCAUUGAAUCUUUGAACGCACCUUGCACCUUUUGGUAUUCCAAAAGGUAUGCCUGUUUGAGUGUCAUGAAAAUCUCUCAUCAAAUUAAUUUUUGGUGGAUGUUG